rnacentral:rRNA from 1 species
GUGCAGCCGCCGCGGUAAUACGGAGGGUCCGAGCGUUAUCCGGAAUCAUUGGGUUUAAAGGGUCCGCAGGCGGGUUAUUAAGUCAGAGGUGAAAGCUUGCAGCUCAACUGUAAAAUUGCCUUUGAAACUGGUAGUCUUGAAUUAUUAUGAAGUGGUUAGAAUAAGUAGUGUAGCGGUGAAAUGCAUAGAUAUUACUUAGAAUACCAAUUGCGAAGGCAGAUCACUAAUAAUAUAUUGACGCUGAGGGACGAAAGCGUGGGGAGCGAACAGGAUUAGAUA